rnacentral:rRNA from 1 species
CGUAGGGGCAAGCGUUGUCCGGAAUUAUUGGGCGUAAAGCGCGCGCAGGCGGUCUUUUAAGUCUGAUGUGAAAUCUCGUGGCUCAACCGCGAGCGGUCAUUGGAAACUGGAGGACUUGAGUGCAGAAGAGGAGAGUGGAAUUCCACGUGUAGCGGUGAAAUGCGUAGAGAUGUGGAGGAACACCAGUGGCGAAGGCGACUCUCUGGUCUGUAACUGACGCUGAGGUGCGAAAGCGUGGGAGCGAACAGGAUU